AGAGACAAGUCCUGGAAUUGGCAUUCCCAAGAACCAUUUGGUGCUUUACUGUCCUGUGGUUGAGCUGGUAUCUAAGGUGUAAGACAAAGCCCACUUUACUUUUCCCUCCACUUUUCUCUAGCAGGAAUCUUGCCUUGUAACCACCACAGCUGGGAAUGUGCUGGCUGAAUCUGAACCUGAAACCGACAAGACCGAGUCUCACCCAAGGCCCUCAGCAUAGUACCCAGGAACUACUGCGCGCGGGACACAAGGAUCAAGGAGAGAGCAGAGUGCAACCCCAACCCUGCCUGAUCAGUGGGGACGCCCGUCUUCCCUGCGAGAGUUUUGGGGUGGAACAGGAGUGGCUGCUCAGGGGAAAAUUAAAGGAGCUGAGAAGCUCCAGUCGUGAGAAGGCUAAUGAAGGAGGCAGUUUCUCCGCGCAGGGGUUGUGCUGAGAUGGCAUCUAGGGCCGGCUCUUCCAGAACCUCAUUUGACACUGGGCGGCAGCCACCGGGUGUGGCAGGUGGGGCGGGGCGGGCGGGGAGCAGGGAUGAUGCCGUCCCGCUUCCGUCCCCAGGGAGCGCUGGGGCCCUCCCUGCCAGCCAGGCUACACCUGUGCAGUGGAGCAGCCGUCCCUGUCUCGCCUGCCCAGCGCCAGAUGACAGCCGCCCAGAGGCUGUCCUCUGCCACCUGCACUGCUCACCUCCGAGAAGGUCGGGAGCGGGGCUGAAGGGUCCCGGGGGCAGGUUCCAGGCCAGCUCCUCCAGCAGGCCCAGCAGGCCUUUCACCUCUGUCCCCAGGUGAUCCACGGUCUUCUCUACCAUCUAGAGUGGGAAGUGGGGUAAAGUCGAGGACAGAAGUGGUUCCACGUUCCGCUUCAUCAGCUAGGUCCUAAGAGAGCAGCUGGCGGUCCAGUGCGGUGCAGUGGGAAAGGACUGGGCGCUAAGUGACCUGGGUUUUCCUCACUCAGGCUCUGCCCCUACCUGCCUCAGUUUCCCCAGAUGACAAUAUCCUAGGGGGCUUGCUCUCUAAGGCUCCUUCUUUUUUGGCACUUAGUCACAGAUUUGGAUGAAGCGCCUGUAGAAUACCUUCUCCCUUUUGGACUUUGCAGCCUGGAGCUCACAUUCCUUUUGUUGUUCCGCCCCCUGGUGGUAUCUCUGCCAAAUGACAGGUUUGGGAUUCUGAAAUUUACUGAGUUCUUAAUGGUUUUUCCCUGUGUAUGCCAUGGACCCCAUUGGCAGUGUGGUGAAGCCUACAGACCUCUUCUCAGAAUAAUGCCUUAAAUGCAAAAAAUAAAACAUAUAGAAUUACUAAGGGCACCAAUUGCAUUAAAAUAUUAUUCAAGUAUUAGGCCGGGCGUGGUGGCUCACGCCUGUAAUCCCAGCACUUUGGGAGGCCAAGGGGGGCAGAUCAUCGGAGGUCAGGAGUUCAAGAUCAGCCUAGCCAACGUGGCGAAACCCUGUCUCUACUAAAAAUACAAAAAGAAGCCGGGCAUGGUGGUGCGCGUCUGUAGUCUCAGCUACUCGGGAGGCUGAGGCAAGAGAAUCACUUGAACCGGGAGGUGGAGGUUGCAGUGAGCCGAGAUCACACCAUUGCACUCCAG
rnacentral:lncRNA from 1 species